ensembl:lncRNA
AUGGGUUUAAAGUGUAAUGUAAGUCGCUUUGGAUAAAAGCGUCAGCUAAAUGACCUGUAAUGUAACAUGGUAACCUGGCUGAGACACAAUCUCCAACACGAAUUAAGCACUUAAGUCAGAUUUCACCAACAAAGCCAGCUCACAAUUCACCAAUAUCCUCCUAUGUUAUUGCUUACAUUUGUUAAGAAAUGGCAGGGCAAUGUGCACACUUCAUACGCCAUGGCAAUUCAAAGUGCUUUACAUAUGAGCAAUAAUACAAAUAUUUAUUUUUUAAAGGAGAGAAAUAUUAUAACCAAUAAAAACGGUAUAACUACUUAUUUUGCGCAAACAUGUCAGCUCUCAAUUGUGUGUAAGUGUAAAUUCUGUUGUUACCUAAGAACAAAUCUUCUUAAGAACAUUUGGUGAGGCCCGAUGUUCCCUUUGCUCAUUGUCAUCGAUUGUUCUUUGCUUGAUGCAGGCGUCUCGUCAGGUGUGGGACACGGUUUGUAGAUGACAGCAGAAGUCCGUCAGUGAGACUGUAGUGGACGUGUCCUUCACCUGACAGAACAAACGCUCUCACUGUUGUUUAAAACAACAAACAAGAUCUGAGAUGAGACAUGAGAUGUCUUGUGUUUGAGUUUAAUUUUGGAGGUUGUUUCUGUUAUUAUUUUGAAAUGAGUUUGUAACCUGCCUGAAUUGAGAAAUAUUGUUCGACAUUCGUAGAAGAGAGAUCUUGUAACGCAUUGUAACAUUUUUGCUCAUUUGAUGAGUAUAUGUUCAAUAUUCAUGCUAAUUUUAGAUCUACUUUAGUUGCACCAGCUCCUGGGUAUCACAUCGGACUCUUUAGCUGCUAAAUGCUUCACUUUGUUCACCAGUUAGUUGCUAAAUCCUAAUACCCCCCCGAUGUUAAUAAAUAUAACAACAAUAAUAUGAUGCACGGUGUUCAGCUCUACAUGGACACAUAGUUACGUAUUUCUCUGCAUUUCAACGUUACUCUCACCGUUGAACAGUGUGUGUCGGUGACUCUUACUUUUCCUCUUCCACGCUCUCUGCUUUCUACAGAGCUUUAUUUGUGUUGAGAGCACAGAGGGGAUGGGCUGAUCCAGUUCAGUGAUGGAGUCUCUGUGUGUGUGAUUGCGCAUUUGUGUGUGAUGGAUGAAUGGCUCUGUGACAAAACAUCAAGUGUGAAAACAGAAAUAACUCCAAAAAGUGGAUGAAGUUUUAAAAGACGGAGGAGUGGAGUCAGAAUGAAAGAAGGCAAGAGAAACAAAGACACCGUAUGGGUGUCAGAAGAAGCAGCUCUCAAUUUUCUCUGCUGUUACCUACUUUCUCAUUCGACUCCCCUGCCUGCGGAUGAUGCAACAUCAAUUUAACGCUUUGCUUUCUCAGCUCAGUUUCAGCAGGAAACCCUGGCUUUAGUCAACUCUCAGCUGAAUUCAACUCAAUUCAUUAAGUAUGCACGUGUGUGUGUGUGUGUGUGUGUGUGUGUGUGUGUGUAUUCCCUGUGAGAUUGAAGUCCCUUUAUUGCCCUAUUUUCCUCUGACAUUUGAUGCCUGUAAUAUAGCCUUUGUGGACCUGGAAUUAAAUUUGCGAGCGCAGCAUAUAAACAGCUCCCCUGUGUAUUCUACAUUUCUAUCCUCACCAUUCCCUGACCAAAUUAUGAAACCAUAAGUAUCAGCGACUCAUGAAAGCAUCUUAACAGAUUCAAAACACAGGCCUUAAUACUGUUUUUCAAAUAAAGACAUCACCCGAUUACAAAGGAUCCAUCAACCUAAACCCAUUUUUAAAAAUUCACCGCAGUCAUCUUGAAAUACUUUUUCUAGCCGGUUACAAAAUAGUAUUAGGACACGGGAUGUAUGAGAGGAACUGCUUGGUCAGAGGAAUGCAUUUACAACGCCUGUAUCUUCAUAUCUUUUAUUUCCCCCAUGAUCCAAUUUUCUCAACCACGUAGUACUCCGUGGGAUCAUACAUUGAGACAAAAGAGAAAUGGUUUGCUGACUGGGAAGUGUUACGAGUAACACAGGUUUAUUUGAGUGGCUCUCUAGAUGUGAAUGUGUUUGCAAAAGGAAGAUGAAGCCAAGGGGGGAAUGGAGGGAAGAGCUUUGAGUGAAAAGGUCAAUCUGUGUGACUGUGGAGCAUCAGAGGGUCACGGAUGGUUGAGUCUCACUGAAAAAAGAUUUUUUUUUUGUACCAAAAACUGUGAAAAAGGUUUCUUUGCUUUGCUCUCCGUUUUAUUUAGUUUACAGAAUGUUGUUUUUCUUUUUGAUCCCCUUCUGUGUUGAGAAGUCAAGUCCUUUCAAUUCAAUUUUCUUGUAUAGCCACAAAUGACAAAUUUGCUAUGCAAUACUCAGGUCAUAUGUUGGCAAAAUAAGUUAGCAAGUAAGUGCAAAAGUAGGACCCAAUCGCAGAUUAUACAAACAAACAAUAACAAUACACAACCCACCAGCGCCGACAAAAGAAACACGGUUUAAAUACACUGGGAAGGUGCAGGUGGUUGAACACAGGAGGAGACAAUCGGGGACAUGGCAGCCAAUCCCCCACGGGGCAAACACCAGGGCAGGAAGGGAAGUUAACCGAGAGACACCAGAGGCAGGAAACUACACAAUACAACAGAUUUCAAGCAAAGGGCGGGUGUGUUCCUCAGAAAAGCUUAUCUGUUUUACGCCUGCUUUCAUUAUGCCAUUGAACAGGAAGAGACAUCUUUGACUGUCUAAGUAUGUUCCAUGAUUUUUUUAAAAUAUAUUAUAUAUUAUCUCUCUAUCUCUCUUUUACACACACACACGCACACACAUAUACUGUAUAUAAUAUAUACUGUAUUUGUCUUGAAUCCCACAAAAAAACAUUUGUCCUGUUAAUCCUUCCCAAUACACAUUACGAUAUCUUUGUAUCUGAAAGGACAUCCUUACAAGCCUGCGUUUGUGUCUGUGUGCACAAGCGCACACGUCAUCAGGAUUGUACGCGUGUGUUUUCCACGUAUUAUUCAUAAUCAACCGGCCUCGGGACAUACAGUGCAGAAUCCGAUUUAAAUAAGCUGACAGAGGUCAGGUAGGGAGAUCCUCGCUUUGGUUGGUUAGUGUUUUUCGGAGUGGCUCCUUCAACACACAUCCAAUUAGCGUUCUGACAGGUGUCGACUGUUUCUUCAUUUCUUGAGUGUGUGUGAUGACAGGGAUUCAGAGUGUCAAGUAUAAGCCGCCUAAAGCCAAUUGAAAUAAAUAAAGGAAGUAGAGGAGUAUUUGGCUUUCCAAACAUCACCUGUGUGAUCAUCAAGCAGACUGUUUUUUGGUUUAGAAUUUGUUAAUUCAUUUAGAAGACAAACCUCUGGUAUAACAAUGAAGACUUAAGGACCUUCACCUUAAUUUUCAUCAUUAUUCAUAAUUUCCUUCGGUGAUCCUUCGGUGAAUUGUUUAAUCAGAGCAAAGUCUAAAUUACCUCAAUAAAUUAGUCGGGGUGGAAAUUUUGUGAACUAAUUUGACGUGGCUGUAUUAUGUGACCUGAACUUUUGGAUUAUUUAGCCUUGAAAAGAUGUAAAUGAGGUCCCCCGCUGUCGGAUUUCAGGAAAAAGCUGCUUUUAAUCGGCUUUUGGAGAGUAUUUGAGCAUUCAAGUCAUUGCACAGGGAUUUGUCCCUUGGACACAGAUGCAGCUUAGAGUGUGUGUUUGUGGUCUAUAGCAGAGGCCCCCAACCUUUUCUUCCUCAGGGACGGGUGUUGGAGGUGUGGCGGAUAAACACAAUGAAAUAACUGGCUGCCCGGCGGAAUCAAUUCUCAAAAUAAAACACAACUAAAAAUGUUUUUUUUUAAAUCUUGGGAAAAAUCUUUCUGUGGUGUGGCCCGGUACCAAAUAGCCCACGGACCGCUACCAGUCAGCGGUGGUUGGCUAGAAAUUGCAACUGCUCGUAGAUGACAUAUUACAGAUGUAGAAGCUGUAAGUUAAGCUAAUUAGGUGAAACAGACAGGAGAUGAGCGAUGGAGGAAACAAAGGGUUAAUUCAUCUUCAUUUCAUAAGACGGGCAGGAGGAGGAGGUCCUUGGCCGUGCAGUGCUCUUGACUCUUUGUCCCCGGAGGUUUGAGUCAUCGUACUGAUCGGUGGAAUGCUGGGACAUCCAAUGUGACUGAAAAGGCCAUCGGCUCUAUUCCCUCCAGACAUUAAGCCUUAUUGUUCAAAUAACGAUUGCUAAAGGGGGAGCUGAGAGCGCUCAACAGGAGAACUGUAUAUUUCAAGUGAUGUAUUGUAUGUUAUGCUUUCAUACAGCAUGUUAGCAAUCUAAGAAAAAUAACCAAAAAGCCAGGCUAGCAGCUCUAUGAGGCAGUCCUCUUUUUCUAGCUGAAUGCUAACAUGCGAACAAACAUCAUUAUGUCAGUUGAUUUUUGGAAAGACUCCUAAUAAGUCUAUGCAAUUCCCCACAGGUACACUUUGGGAUUUCUGACUAGCAGUGUUAUAAGAUAGUAGUUUUACUCGAGGUUGAGGGUCAACAUUUUGUUUUUUUGCAAACAUGUAAACAAGGAUUCACACACAGACAAGUGCACAAAAAAAGAAGAAAUAAGCAGCUGAAAUAUGCUACUGUUUGCUGGGAAUUAAGUUCUUGCUGGAUCAUGACCAAAUGCUGUACGACGUCCAAGCAAAGGGGAUUGCAUAAAAUUCAUAAAUACACAAAAAACUUCAAUUCAGUACCAUAUGGGGCAAGACUUAUUGCCAAUAGAGUUGCAUGUUUCAAAACCACCAUCUGGCAGCUCAGUGCAGUCGUGUUCGGCUGAGUUGUUGUGGAAAUGUGAAAGCUGUCAACUUAAUUUGGUGGCUCAAAGUCUCUAAUGGCUCAAGUUAAAAUGAAAACCUGCGAAAGAAAAGCAGACAAAACAGUAGCAGGGGUAUUUGGAACGUUAAUGAACAUCUGUGUCAUCUUUAAAAGAAGCACUCAGUUUGCCUGCUUUGUAACAUCACACAGGCAAACACUUUGUUUGUUAUCAUCAGGGUAACAGAGUUUAAAUCUGUGUGCAUGUCUCAGGCAGCAGGCCGGGUGGGUGCACGUUAUAAUGGUAUUGGGCUGUGAUCACAGAGGUGUGAGGAGGAAACGCACGUUGCACCAACUUCACAGUAAAUAUCUAAUAAUUCUCAAUCCAUUUUUUUGUCUUUAUCAAAUAAUAAUUUUCUUUUAAAGAUUUUGGGGGAAUGGGACUUCAUGUUGUGUGCUUUGGACUCAAUAUUUGCCAGUCCUGUAAUAAUAUUAUAAAGCAGACAACUCCGACUUUAAUUAAUCAACCUCAUUUAUUUAUUCCUCCCCAAACCAUUCACACCCUGUCAAUCUGUGUGCCUUAAAGCCUGAUUAUGGUUACGCAGCAUGGCGCGUAAAGCUGCAGAGUUUCUAUGCUUUUCUGUAGCAGCUAGUUACAUAAGCCACAAACAGGACACAAUAAUGACAACGGCCCCACAGACUUUGUCUUUUCUUGACAUUUAUAGCUGCUGAGUUUGUAUUUCACGCUCUUGAAGAUAAUCUUUAGGAUGCUAUCGCACUGACUCACAGUGCCAUUUUUGUAACAUUUAGAUGAGGUGAACAAUCUGUACUCAGCGUGCUCCAUCAUGGCACUUGGGUUUUCCUGAAAUAUUUCAGGUUCAAUGGACUGAGGAGAUGAGGACCAGAUGGACGGGCCCAUGGCUCCAUCAGUAACGGGCACAGAGCUCCACUUCGACUCAGACGCCAGCCAGGUGGAGGUGGGGUUCUGGAAUUAUUAAAGAUAAGCUAGUUGGACCUUUUCGGGUUGAACGUGGACUAAAAAAAAAAUCAACUCCCAGACCUACUGCCAGUUAUUAGAAGACACUUUUUUACACUUUACUCUUUAAGCAGUGGUACGGGGGAAAGGUCUGUAUUAAGGUCUGUAGGGCCAUGAUUUUAAGACAAUGCUCCAUCCCAUGCAUCUAAAGACUGCACUGCGUGGCUAGACAGUAAAGGCCUUAAAGGUGAAAAAAUAAUGACAUAUUCCUUCCUCACCUGACCUAAACCCUCUGGAGAACGUGUGGAGCCUUCUUAAACAGGAGGUAUACAGAGAAGGAAAUCGGUACACCAGCGUCACGGAGGCUGUGGUUGCUGCUGCACAAAACGUUGAUCGUCAACAGAUGAAGAAACUGACUCCAUGAAUUGCAGGAUUAUUACGUUAUUAUCUAUAUCGGGCACGGAUUUUCUGGAAUGUCAGGAAUGUUUAUUUGUACUUUUUGAGUUGUUUAUUAUUCUCACUAUAACAGAUGGAAAUAAACAAGUGAGAUGGGAAAUCUUUUUUCUUUUUAAUUUAGUUAGCCAAAACCUCACUUUUACAUUCUUAACAUUCAGGUUUGGGGUGUAUUGUUAUUUUGGAUUGACCGAGAGCACUGUAGUUCUUCAAUAAUAAAAAUAAUGCCUAAUAAUUUUGCACACAGUGUUGAUGAUGCAUGCACACAUGAAUAAUUUGCCAUUCACCACACGUUGGUAGUUUGAUUGACUAGGUCAAUACGAGGUUAGGGUUACGCCCUUUUUCAGAACUCAUGAACAAUUCAGUGUAGAAAUUCUCGGGAGGCACCAUUUCAUCUGGAAGUUUGUGAGGGCUGUUACCCAUUAAUAAUUUGCACAGUUGAAUGCGACUGGUUAAGGCUUGCCUGUCAUCGUUUAAGCCUUACGUAGAAAAAUACGAACUACUGCACAGAAUCCAUGUAGUUGUGUAGCUUUUUGUUUGAUUAUGUGUGUUUAUUUCAGUUAAUUAACUGGAUCCGCAUUAGCUGAAGCCUUAGAAAACGCCAGACACACUAAGGACAAAAUGUAAUACAUACAAAAUUUGUGUGCGUUUAUAGAAUGUCCCAGAAUCUAAAGCACAGAAACAGAGUGCAGAUCGAUAGUCUGACAGAAUGAAAGACGCUGGGUAAGUGUUUUUGUGGUUGUAAAUAUAUCUUUUGGCCUUAAUUACAUUCCCCACAUAACAUCAAUACACCGAUAGAAUGUUAAAAUGGCCGUGAAGCAACAGUCAAAGAGAAGGAUGCAAGCUGCAAACAAUUGUUUGUAAGGUUGUGUGCGUGAAUGCAUGUACGCAACCUAAUCACAGUCAUUACAAAUGGAUGCUUGUUCUUGAAUUAAUUGGGGUGAAGGGUGCGUUCCUUUUGUAUUGUGCUCCUGCAGACUUGUCCAAUAUUCAAAUAUACUUGACCUUCAUCCCUUUAGAAGAAACAAAAAAAAGUUUCGCUCCAAUCAAGCUUUAUAACCCAGCCCGUCUGCUGAACUUCAUCUGAAUAAUUUACAGUUUCCUGUAUAUUCCAGGUGUCACACAAGGCACAGGAAGGUGGAUUUUUAAGCAGAUCUAUUCAAAGUUUUAUGGCUUUUUUACGGAGCCGUGACUGUAUUCCCCAUUGGCCAUUAUUGUGAAAAAUGUACCCUGUUAGCUACCAAACUCCUUUUGAAACUUUGAAAUGAAUUAAACUUUUAAGAUUUCACUUUAAAAGACAAACCAGACGCAGGGAGACGGAGGGGAAAAAAGGCACUAGCCUCACGGCCA